rnacentral:rRNA from 1 species
GACGAACGCUGGCGGCGUGCCUAAUACAUGCAAGUCGAACGCAGUGGGGACGGGUGAGUAACACGUGGGUAACCUCCCAUCAGAGGGGAUAACACUUGGAAACAGGUGCUAAACCGAUACUGAUGGAUGAACCCGCGGUGCAUUAGCUAGUUGGUGAGGUAACGGCUCACCAAGGCCACGAUGCAUAGCCUACCGGAGAUGGUGAUCGUCCACAGUGGGAAUGAGAAACGGACCAGUCUCCUACGGGAAGAAGCACUAGGGAAUCUUCGGCAAUGGACGAAAGUCUGCCCGAGCAACGCCGCUUGAGUGAAGAAGGUUUUCGGAUCGUAAAACGCUGUUGUUAGAUAAGCUGUAUCUAACCAGAUAGCCACGGCUAACUACGGGCCAGCAGCCGCGAUAAUAC